rnacentral:rRNA from 1 species
AGAGUUUGAUCAUGGCUCAGGACGAACGCUGGCGGCGUGCUUAACACAUGCAAGUCGAGCGGAAAGGCCCUUCGGGGUACUCGAGCGGCGAACGGGUGAGUAACACGUGAGUAACCUGCCCCUGACUCUGGGAUAAGCCCGGGAAACUGGGUCUAAUACCGGAUACGACAUCUCCCGGCAUCGGGUGGGUGUGGAAAGUUUUUUCGGUUGGGGAUGGGCUCGCGGCCUAUCAGCUUGUUGGUGGGGUAGUGGCCUACCAAGGCGACGACGGGUAGCCGGCCUGAGAGGGCGACCGGCCACACUGGGACUGAGACACGGCCCAGACUCCUACGGGAGGCAGCAGUGGGGAAUAUUGCGCAAUGGGCGGAAGCCUGACGCAGCGACGCCGCGUGGGGGAUGACGGCCUUCGGGUUGUAAACCUCUUUCAGCAGGGACGAAGUUGACGUGUACCUGCAGAAGAAGCGCCGGCUAACUACGUGCCAGCAGCCGCGGUA